GAAAAAGAAGAAAUUGAAAAAUGGAAGAAAAAGUGCAGAAAAUUCACAAAAGGAUGAUUUGCCCAGUGAUUUGCCCAAGAUCACCAGAUAUCUGCUCCAAUCACUGCCCAGAUCAAGCUAAAGGAGAAACCCGGAGGCAACAGGCAGCAGUGAUUUGCCAAGUGAUUUGCCCCAGACACUCGAAGAUCACUGGCCAAAUCACUCGCAGAGACAUAGAGGACUGACUCACAGAGGCAGUGAUUUGCCCAGUGAUUUGCCCACUGCUCGCUCAAAUCACCGGGCAAAUCACUUUGACAGCAGAAACUUAC
rnacentral:lncRNA from 1 species